AAGGAAUCAAUAAGUGAAAUUAGCAAAAUAUAUCGUUUCAACUCUCAGAAUUUAAGAUAUCUGCUGACACUGGUGAUAAUUGUUGUUUAUUUAUAGACAAAUCAGUUCUAAUAAUCAAAUAUCUGUUAGAAAAUUCAUCGGAAAAAGAAAUUGUUUUUUUACAGAUUUAAUAAACAAAAAGAAUUUUAGUCAUCCUUUCAGUUCUCUAAAUUUAGGUGUCAUUAUAGUUUCAGAACUAUCAAUAAAUUUAGAAUCUACAUCAGUGGAAUCUGUUAACUGUAUAUAUAUAUGCUAGUGGCAUAUAGGGAUUAUUAUGUUUGUUAUCCAUUAUGUUUUUAAUAAGGUGUACUAACAGAGUUUCCCUCACCUAGAAAAUUUUAAACUGCCAUGGAAAAUACAAAAUAUAUUCAGAAAGUCAGGGAGGAAUUUUCCCAGAAUGUCAGGAAGUUUGAAAAAUGGCAUUUAGCGUUGUACAUUUGCUAAUGACCGAUGAAGUGGCUGUCGUCCAAGCAAAUGAGUGUCAGAUGAUAAAAAGGGACAUGUAACUGGCCUUCGUAUAAAGAAAGAAGUCACAUGGAAAGAGCAAUUCUGGAACACAGAGAACCAGAUACAUCCUGAGAGAAUUUUUAUAUUGUUAUCCUGGGAGAAUAUUGUGCUUUCAAAGAAAAUCGGGCCACCAGAGAGGUACCUUGCAAUAUUAUUGAACAUAUUAUAAAAGACUGGUUGAAAAGUGUUUCAUUUAGAGAAAAGUAUCAUAAAAAAAAGGAAACAGAAGGAAGUUUGUAAACAAUGGAAUAAAAAAUUUGUGUAUUAGCUUGUACGAAAAUACUGUAAUUAAAGUUAUUAAUUGUUCAGUUUGUUUCCUAACUUUCAUGAAGACUUGGAUUGGUAGAGGAUACUUAGCUUAAGCAAAUAUUGUAUCUUAUACAUUGUAUUACUGAAUAUGAAAAUAAUUAGUUCAUUGAAUUUGAAUGUUUGAUUCUAGAAGAGAAAUUUAUUACAUGAAUAUGCAAUAUGGAAAUUAAUUUCAUU